GUGACGGUACCUGUAUAAGAAGCACCGGCUAACUACGUGCCAGCAGCCGCGGUAAUACGUAGGGUGCGAGCGUUGUCCGGAAUUACUGGGCGUAAAGAGCUCGUAGGUGGUUUGUCGCGUCGUCUGUGAAAUUCCGGGGCUUAACUCCGGGCGUGCAGGCGAUACGGGCAUAACUUGAGUGCUGUAGGGGAGACUGGAAUUCCUGGUGUAGCGGUGAAAUGCGCAGAUAUCAGGAGGAACACCGAUGGCGAAGGCAGGUCUCUGGGCAGUUACUGACGCUGAGGAGCGAAAGCAUGGGUAGCGAACAGGAUUAGAUACCCUGGUAGUCCAUGCCGUAAACGGUGGGCGCUAGGUGUAGGGGGCUUCCACGUCUUCUGUGCCGUAGCUAACGCAUUAAGCGCCCCGCCUGGGGAGUACGGCCGCAAGGCUAAAACUCAAAGGAAUUGACGGGGGCCCGCACAAGCGGCGGAGCAUGUGGAUUAAUUCGAUGCAACGCGAAGAACCUUACCUGGGCUUGACAUACACCAGAUCGCUGCAGAGAUGUAGUUUCCCUUGUGGUUGGUGUACAGGUGGUGCAUGGUUGUCGUCAGCUCGUGUCGUGAGAUGUUGGGUUAAGUCCCGCAACGAGCGCAACCCUUGUCUUAUGUUGCCAGCAUUUUGGUUGGGGACUCAUGAGAGACUGCCGGGGUUAACUCGGAGGAAGGUGGGGAUGACGUCAAAUCAUCAUGCCCCUUAUGUCCAGGGCUUCACACAUGCUACAAUGGUCGGUACAACGCGCAGCGACACUGUGAGGUGGAGCGAAUCGCUGAAAGCCGGUCUUAGUUCGGAUUGGGGUCUGCAACUCGACCCCAUGAAGUCGGAGUCGCUAGUAAUCGUAGAUCAGCAAUGCUGCGGUGAAUACGUUCCCGGGCCUUGUACACACCGCCCGUCACGUCAUGAAAGUUGGUAACACCCGAAGCCAGUGGCUCAAACUUGUUAGGGAGCUGUCUAAGGUGGGAUCGGCGAUUGGGACGAAGUCGUAACAAGGUACCCGUACCGGAAGGUGCGGGUGGAUCACCUCCUUUCUAAGGAG
rnacentral:rRNA from 1 species